UCGCGGCUUAUCACCGGCAGUCCCCUUAGAGUGCCCAACUGAAUGAUGGCAACUAAGGGCGAGGGUUGCGCUCGUUGCGGGACUUAACCCAACAUCUCACGACACGGGCUGACGACAGCCAUGCAGCACCUGUCACUCAUCCAGCCGAGCUGAAGGAAAUCAUCUCUGAAAUCCGCGAUGAGGAUGUCAAACGCUGGUAAGGUUCUGCGCGUUGCAUCGAAUUAAAGAACAUGCUCCGCUGCUUGUGCGGGCCCCCGUCAAUUCCUUUGAGUUUUAGCCUUGCGGCCGUACUCCCCAGGCGGAAUGCUUAAAGCGUUAGCUGCGCCACUGAGCAGCAAGCUGCCCAACGGCUGGCAUUCAUCGUUUACGGCGUGGACUAC
rnacentral:misc_RNA from 1 species